rnacentral:rRNA from 1 species
GUCUUGAAACACGGACCAGGGAGUCUAGCAUGUGCGCGAGUCAUUGGGAACAACUAAACCUAAAGGCGCAAUGAAAGUGAAGGUCCGCCUCGCGCGGACCGAGGGAGGAUGGGCGGCGUCCGCCGAAAGUCGGCCCGCCCCGCACUCCCGGGGCGUCUCGUUCUCAUUGCGAGAAGAGGCGCACCAAGAGCGUACACGCUGGGACCCGAAAGAUGGUGAACUAUGCCUGGUCAGGACGAAGUCAGGGGAAACCCUGAUGGAGGUCCGUAGCGAUUCUGACGUGCAAAUCGAUCGUCGGAACUGGGUAUAGGGGCGAAAGACUAAUCGAACCAUCUAGUAGCUGGUUCCCUCCGAAGUUUCCCUCAGGAUAGCUGGCGCUCGUCGCCUACGAGUCUCAUCCGGUAAAGCGAAUGAUUAGAGGCAUUGGGGUCGAAACGGCCUCAACCUAUUCUCAAACUUUAAAUGGGUGAGAUCUCCGGCUUGCUCGAACUACUGAAGCCGCGAGACACGGAUCAGAGUGCCAAGUGGGCCAUUUUUGGUAAGCAGAACUGGCGCUGUGGGAUGAACCAAACGCCGAGUUAAAGCGCCUAAAUCGACGCUUAUGGGAUACCAUGAAAGGCGUUGGUAACUUAAGACAGCAGGACGGUGGCCAUGGAAGUCGGAAUCCGCUAAGGAGUGUUGU